GCUUUGUUUCGGAUAGUUCACUAUUCGUCCUCAGGCUACUUACACAAAUUGUUCUUAAAUUUGACGUGUUUAAACGUUCAUUUCACGCAAUCUAAUUUUUAUUAAACCUGGUAGUUACUUUAAAAUGUUUCAAUCUAGAAACUGUAGCGGUUCUUUUUAAUACCUAGUUUUUGGAAAAAUUAUCAAUUGGAUAUUCAUUAGGGUAUUUACGGAGAUGAGCAGUGCAUUCAUCGUACUGUUCGGCCAGGUGUCGAGGCAUCACAUCGUAAACGUCAGUAAACAGAUUUUUCAUGUUUGACUUUGCUGCUUUUUCCGCCCGCUUUACGGUCUGUAAGACCUGUAAUCGGUCAUCUCGUUUCCAGUUUUCCUCCUGUUUGUUGUUCAACCAAUUCAUCAACACCAUAUAACGUCUAAGU